AAACGAAGCGAACAUCAGGAUGAUGACGCUUCACAGGGACACACCAGGACGGUGCUUCAGGGAAGGCUUCAGGAUGAAGUUAAGGGAUAUGCAGGACGCAUAGUAAGGACACCUCCAGGAAGGAGAAAGUGAGCCGGACAGGAUGCCCGGUGGGUCAGGAUGGCCAGGGACUCACUUAAGGAAAAGUGCUAUCGCAUCGGGGUGGUGUGAGCAGGACGCAGUGUUUACGGAUGAACAGGUCAGGAGACCAACAGGAAAAGUUGUCAUGGAUGAGCAGGGAGCAUCAUAAAAAGUAGCGGGAUGGCUGCGAAACGAACCGGGGGCACUGUUUAACAGUGCCCCCUUUUUUUG
rnacentral:other from 1 species